rnacentral:rRNA from 1 species
AUGUCAAUGCCAAUUGAAUCAAUGUUAUUAGCUAUCAAUUUGAACUUUUUGGUAUUUUCCAUUUCUUUGGAUGAUAUGAUGGGUCAAUCAUUUGCUUCAUUAGUUCCAACAGUGGCAACUGCGGAAUCUGCUAUUGGAUUAGCCAUUUUCGUUAUUAUUUUUCGAGUCCGAGGGACUAUUGCUGUCGAAUCUAUAAAUUGCAUUCAAGAAAUAAAAAGGAAUAUCGAGAAUUCGCGUGGCUGA